ensembl:lncRNA
CGGGGAGUUAAUAAUUCAUGUUAAUUGGUGCUAGAAGCCACUUUCUCUGGCAAAUGUGAGCAAAGGUCAUAACUCUUUCACAGCAAAGGUGAAACUUGUUCCAAGUUUCUUUUUCCAUGCUUUAUCAUGGGAAUAUUAAGAUAUAGAAGGCAAAAUUUAACCAGCGCUGGGAAAGCAAGAUAAUUCCAAGGGUAAAGGUCUAGACCCUCAGUCGUAUUUCGUGAAGCAGCACUGUUUCCACAGCCUGGAUGGAAGGAGAGAAGGGCUCCAGCAAACUCAGGAGGAUGCCGACCCCAUGAGAGCCUUCCUCAGAAGGAUACAGCCACUCAGCCCUUUAGGUCGAUUCAGAAGAAGGUGCCAUGUGCUCUUUGCAUGUGUUUCACAGUGUUUUGAAGAAGAGGUGGAAAAAGGAGAUACAAAAGCAAAGAAGUAAAAAAUGAAUUUCCUGGAAAACAAUUCUCCACAAGAUGAGAAG